AUUGCUCAAUGCUACGUCGGCUGGAGACGGCACGAAAAUGCGUCUUAUAGCACGACACCCAGAGUUUUGUCCGUUACCGUUAAACAUUUAGACGGUGAUAAUAAACGAAGGUACAUGGGAAAGUGAGAGACAUUUGGCAUAGAGGGCCCAUAUUUAAUGCCAGAGUUGAUGUUUUCCCUGAUGUGAAAGUGGACUGUUAACCCGGUUCUGCUUGUCAUGGCCAACUGGAUCUACACAUGGAUCUGUGCAACAACCGAGGGAGGCUUCAGAGAGAAUGCAGUGGCAGAGGGGAGGCCGAGAACAACAUCUGGUGUCUUUCAGUUCCACCCUCGGCAGCUUUUACCUGGCCUUCUGCUCGUCUGGUGUGCACCAGGGAUCUCUCGGCUGCAGUAGAAAUACUGUAAUAGGAGACACUUAUUGGUAUCGUGCUCAUGCGGUGUUAUGCAAUGUCACAAUUUCAUUACGCACCAAGCAUGUAAUUAAUUGCCACUGUUCCUGCUGUCACGGUCUAAAUGUAGAAUAGUCCACCUAACUCCCACUUCUGAGACUCUCAUUAUGUUUCCCUGGACAUGCUUGUCCCUCCCUCCCUCCUCCUCCUUCGUCCUACGUUGAAUUCAGGAGUAACUUGUGUUCCUCAACUCUGUUUUCGGGGACUGAUUUCACCCGCGCCUCUUCCUCAUCUCCAUUCUUGAACAAAUCUCAUCCGCUUAAAGGGGAAAUCCAGUGCUUGCAUUAACAGUGUAUCCCAUAUGUCAUGUAAUAUGUACUGUGCCAAUCCAAACGCUCGA